AUUGAACGCUGGCGGCAGGCCUAACACAUGCAAGUCGAACGAGUGGCGGACUGGUGAGUAAUUUCUGGGAAACUGCCUGAUGGAGGGGGAUAACUACUGUAAACGGUAGCUAAUACCGCAUACCAUCAGAUGUGCCCAGAUGGGAUGGGCUUGUUGGUGGGGUAACGGCUCAACAAGGCGACGAUCCACAGCUGGGCUGAGAGGAUGACCAGCCACACUGGAACUGAGACAAGGUCCAGACUCCUACGGGAGGCAGCAGUGGGGAAUAUUGCACAAUGGGCGCAAGCCUGAUGCAGCCAUGCCGCGUGUAUGAAGAAGGCCUUCGGGUUGUAAAGUACUGUCAGCGGGGAGGCGUUACCCGAAGAAGAAGCAACGGCUAACUCCGUGCCAGCAGCCGCGGUAAUAC
rnacentral:rRNA from 1 species